UCCGUGGAACAUAUGUCAGAUGUGAAAAGGAAUAUGGAGUAGUGUUUACAUCUGGUUUCAAUAUCCACAGAAGUGAAAAAUACAUAGAUAGAACGUUUUACAUCUGAUCUUAAUAUUCCCAGAUAAAAAACUAAACGCGGUGGCAAUCCUGUAAUUACUUCGAAAAUUCUCUAAAAUACGUUUACAUCUGACCCAUAAUAUGCUCAGAUAUAAACAGUCUUAAAGUAAUUUUUUUUUUUUUUUGAAUGGAAAUUAUUAUAAGUUUGACAUAACAAAAAAAUCACCUCAUCUUCUCUCAGCCAGCACGCACGCGAAAUCGAAACUGAACCCUAGCCUUCAUCUUCUCUGUUUCAGCAAUCGGUGAUUCUUCGCUACCUCACUUGAUCUAUCGUUCACUCUCUCACUCGAUUGAACUCGUUCUCUCUCUCUCUCUCUCUCUCUCUCUCUCUCUCCCUGUCACACUCGUUCUCUUUCGAACCCUAGCCUCCAAUCCCUUUCACUGAAUCACAAAUUACAAUCCCUAAUUGAAGAAUCAAGGCUUACUGAACCCAAAUCGAAGCUCAGUGAAACGAAUCAAAGCUCUCUCAGCUUGUUACAGAGUCAUAAUUGCACCGCCUCUUCUCUCGAUCUAAAACUGGCUAUAAAGGUGGAAAAUAUGAUAAAGCUAAAUGAUGAAUCUGAUUACAAAAGCUUAUCAAGAACUGUAUGGUUAAUGGUUAUAAUCAAUAUGAGAGGUAUAACGAGGCACUUGGUCUCUUUUUUGAUAUGUUGGCUGAUGGAUUUUGUCCUGACAAGGCUACUUUUCUGAGUGUGUUGAGUGUUUGUGCCCAUUAGUAUGCUUUGGCAUUGGGAGAAACGGUUCAUGCUUAUCUAUUGAAAAGCAACAUUGCAACUGAUAUUGCCCUGGCAACUGCUCUUUUGGACAUGUAUGCCAAGAAUGGUGAGCUAGGAAGUGCCCAAAAGAUUUUUAAUAAUAGUUUGGAAAAGAAAGAUAAUGCAAGAGGAUAGUUCUCUAGUCCCUGAUCAUAUUACUUAUGUUGGAGUUUUAUUUGCAUGUAGUCAUUCAUUUGAAAUAAAGUUGUUAACCUUAUAAUUAUCUCAAGAUUCAUUUGUUGUCUCAAAUUAUAACGUAUUGUCUUCUGGAGUAACUUCAACAAAUUGGUGUUUUGAAAUGAAAAUCAAAACCAACCUGGAGCAUUUGUUCAACCUCUGCUCAGACUGCGCUGCUCCAUCCUGAAAAUUUCUUCCGCAAAUCGCAUUUUGCUUGAAAUAAUAUGCACAAACUAUGCCUAGUCAACACCUGACCUGAAGCCAGAAUGCGGGGUACUUCGCAUUUUCAGACGCAAAAAUAACGACUUUUGUGGAUUCACUGUAAUAUAUUUAGCAUAGCAGGGGAUCAGAGAAUAUUUCAAACGGGGUUCAUAACUAAGAUGGCCAAGGAGCUAUUUCAAGGGAGAGCAUACAUGCAUUGGAGAAGCUUAGUCAUCUAAACUAGGUUAUCGGAAGACCUAAGGUUGAGUUAAUGUUUGAGGCUCAAAAGCUACCAACAGAAGAAGAAAUAAUAGAAGAGUUCACAUAUCCCUUGCUUAACUACAAGUAAUAGGUAACUUAUUGCAAGAGUGAUUGUUUAUACUUCCAGUUACCAUGACAUUGUUCCUCUUUGUAUAUGUUCCUUAGUCGACUCUAAAUAGUUUUAAAUAAAUUUUCAUUUGGAAUUUGUAUGCUGCAGUCAAAUUGGCUUCUAGUGGGUUUGUUUCUAAUUUUGUAUGCUUGUAGUAUAUGUCUAAGGUUUGUCGAAGUAAUAAUUGUUUCUAAGUGAGUAAGAUUUAUACAAGAUUUUAUUUUUUUAGAUUAUUCCCUUGAAAUUCUUUUAUUAAUGUGUUGAUGGAUUUAUUUGGUCUUGAUUGUUGGUGAACUUUAAGCUUGGUUAUAGAAGGAAAACACUUAAUUA